CAUCUUUAACAUUAGUUCUGAUUAGCAUAAUGUCCAUACUGUGAUUUCUAAUAUUAAUGUGAUAUCCAUAUUGUGGUCUCUAACAGUAAUAUAAUAUUCAUAUGGUGGCCUUAGAUGCUAAUAUAAUAUCAGAAUAAUAGCUGCACUGUAGCCUUAACACUAAAUAAUAUACAUACUGUAGCAUCUAAAACAAAUAUUGGCCCUAAUAUCUUUAAUACUAAUAUAUCAUAUUAGUAGAACAUCUAAAGCUGCUUAGUAUAGCCUCUAAAACUGAUAUAAUAGCUGCCCUGUAGCCUUGACUACAAAUAAGAUAUAUAUACUCUAUCAUCUAAAAUGGAUAUAAUAUCUCCCCUGUGGUCUCAAUAUUAAUAUAAUAGCUGUCCUGCAGCCAUUAGUACUAAUUUGAUUAUCUGUUUUAGCAUCUAAAACUGAUAAGACAGCUUCCCUAUGGCCAUUAAUAUUAAUAAAUUCUCCAUAAUAUAGCAUCUAAACCUGAUAUAAUAGCUGCCAAUACUAUUAUGAUAUCCAUAAUAGUAUCAAAAACUAACAUAAUAUAGUAUCUAAAACUAAUACAAGAACUAAACUUUGGUCUUUAAUACUAAUGAAGUAUGUUUACUGUAGCAUCUUACAGUAUUGUAAAAACUUCCCUAUAGCAUUUAGUAUUAAUAUAUGCAUACUGUGGCUACAGAAUAGGAUAUUUUAGCUCUCCUAUUGUCUUUAAUAUUAAUAUCCAUACUACAGUAUCUACAUUAAUAUAAUAGCUGCUCUUUGACUUUAAUAUUGAUGUAAUAUUCAUACUAUAGCAAGUACAACUAAUAUAAUAACUGCCCUGAGGUUUUAAUACUAUUGCAGUAUCCAUACACAGCAUUUAAAAUUAAUAUAAUAGCUUCCCUGUGACCUUUGAUGUUAAUAAAAUAUCCAAACUAUAUCAUCCAAAACUAAUAUGAUAGCUGCCCUGUAGUCUUUUAUACUAAAUUAUAUUCAUGCUAUAGCAUCUCAAGCUAAUAUAAUAUCUACUCUGUGGCCAUUAAUGUAAUAUUCCAUAUGAUUACAUCCAAAACUGAUAUGAUAGCUGACCUGUAUCUUUUAAUAUCAAAAUGACAUCCUUAUUAUAGCAUCUUAAAUUGAUAUGCUAGCUGCUCUGUGGCCUUUAAUAUGAUAUCUAUCUAAUAUGAUAUCU
rnacentral:lncRNA from 1 species